CACGUAGGGCGCGAGCGUUGUCCGGAAUUAUUGGGCGUAAAGAGCUCGUAGGCGGCCUGUUGCGUCCGCUGUGAAAGCCCGGGGCUUAACCCCGGGUCGGCAGUGGAUACGGGCAGGCUAGAGGUAGGUAGGGGAGAAUGGAAUUCUCGGUGUAGAGGUGAAAUUCGUAGAUAUCGGGAGGAACACCUGUGGCGAAAGCGGCUCACUGGACCACAACUGACGCUGAUGCACGAAAGCUAGGGGAGCAAACAGG
rnacentral:rRNA from 1 species